rnacentral:lncRNA from 1 species
CUAGCAGAUACCAGGCUGGGAGUGAGCCCUCCGUUUGCCGGUCAACUGUUGAUCCUCUGUGGCUCAAACGAGGCUGCAAUUGGUGUCUACCUCUCCAGGAGAGAUCGUCCACUCGUUUCUGAGUGGGGCUCGCUAUCCCAGGCAGGACCAGCCUUCAAGUCCCCUGAGAACGCGGCUGGUGGCACCGUUGAUCCGGCACUGGAAGAUUAGCCCUGAGCUGACAGCUGCCAAUCCUCCUCUUUUUGCUGAGGAAGACUGGCCCUGAGCUAACAUCGUGCCCAUCUUCCUCUACUUUAUAUGUGGGACGCUUGCCACAGCGUGGCAUGCCAAGCCACGCCAUGUCCACACCCAGGAUCCGAACCGGCGAACCCCGGGCCGCCGAAGCGGAACAUGCACGCUUAACCCCUGCACCACUGGG